rnacentral:sRNA from 1 species
GUGGACCAGGUGCUCUGAGGCUGGCGUACAGACACAGCACGUGCGACCGAGUGGCGUUGGUCCGACACCACGGGGCAUGGGGAUACGUGUGCAACCAGCAGUGGAUGCUGGCAGAGGCCUCUGUCGUGUGCAGGCAGCUGGGCUGCGGCCCUGCCGUGGGCGCCCCCAAGUAUGUCCCGCUGCCUGGAGAGAUGGCCCAGCCCUGGCUUCACAACGUGUCCUGCCGGGGCAACGAGUCCUCCCUCUGGGAGUGCAGCCUUGGCUCAUGGUGCCAGAGCCCGUGCCCCCACGCAUGGGUGGUGGUCGCGCUGUGCUCCAGAGACCAGCAGCAGAGCAUGAAGCUGGGCACAGGGGUCUCUCUGAGCCCAGGGCCCUGUGUGACUGCCCAGUUACCUGCCCCUGAAGCUGGCCCUGGCUCAGCCCAUCACUCUCCUCCCUGAAAAAGGAGCUGCCGAGUGACCAUGCGGCCAGCUGGGUCCAUACCUUAAGGAGGACCGGCCUGUGCUCCACAGAUGGCACUUUCCGGGAGCUCUGGCUGGUGAAGGGCCGCAGUCCCUGCGCGGGACUCCCCGAGAUCAGAAACGUGAAUGGGGUGGACCGCCUCUGUGGCCUGCAUGUGGAGGAGGCCAUGGUGUUCUGCCGAGAGCUGGGGUGCGGCCCUGUGCUCCAGGCCCCCCGCCGGGACGUGGGCGUCAUCAGGAAGUACCUGGCCUGCAGGGGUACCGAGCCCACCAUCCGCAGCUGCAGACUGGACAACAACUUCCGCAGCGGCUGCGACCUGCGGCUGGUCGCAGAGGUGGACUCCUCGGGUGACGCUGCCACCUGAUGUUCCCAGUGACCCUUGGGAUGAUGCUGGGCCUGGACCUGGGGAGGGCAGGGGGAAGGGGGGUGGGCGUUCCCACGGAUGGGCCCCCCUGUCCUGCAUGAGACAUUGGGCGCAGAGGUGGGAAAGGGCCUCAGCUCUCACGCUGGUUCUCAGCAGAGUGGAGCUGAGUUUCUGGUGGCCCCACAGAGGUGUCCUGGCUCAGAACCCGCAGGCCAUCUAGGGGUCCUGGCUGCCGCUGCAAGUCUGAGCCGCCUCAGCUGUGAUCUCUGCAUGUCUAACAUGGAUCGGGGUUGGGUAGAGGUCACUUCUUCCCAGCCCUGCCUCAAGUGUGUGUGAGAUGCACUGGUCUCACAGCUCCUGGCCUUGUUGUGCAUAUGAGGAGCAGCUGAAAUGAGGUGGAUAGUCUGCCUGCUGCGGUACCCCAGAGAGGGUGGUGCUCAGUGGACCAAGGGGUGCCCUGACCUCACCUCUGGGAUUGCAGAGGGUGUUGCUGUCAUGGCCCCGGACAGGCAGAGGCUGUGAAAUACGUGGGCACCUGCAGCAGGUGACCCUGACCCUGACCUUGGUGAUGCGGCCAAGGACGUCUGCUCUGCUCUGGGUGCCGGGUGGAAGGGCCUGUGGCUGCAAGUUCCUGCCUGUGCUUGGCAGACCCUCUGCCUAGUUGCAGGUGAUAGCCCCUGGCUGAAGCCUUCUGCAGUCUGAGGCUCAGGGCCAGGCUGUUGACCUGAGAACACCUGUCUCCUGCCUGAGAGGACGUCUGCCCCCAGGACACACCGAGGCCCGACUGGUGGGCGGCGAGCACCCCUGCGCCGGGCGCCUGGAGGUGAGGCGGGGCCUGACCUGGGGCACCGUCUGUGAUGCGGACCUGGACCUGGCCACGGCCCACGUGGUGUGCCGGGAGCUGCAGUGCGGGGCGGUCGUGUCCACACCCAAGGGUGCCCGCUUCGGCCGGGGCUCGGGGCCGGUGUGGACGGAGGCCUUCCGCUGUGUGGGCAACGAGUCGCUGCUGUUCCACUGCCCGCGGGGGCGCGGGAGCCAGUGUGGGCACGGCCACGACGCGGGGCUCAGGUGCUCAGAGUUCAGGAUGGUCAACGGCAGCAGCAGCUGUGAGGGCCACGUGGAGCUCCAGGUGCAGGGGUCCUGGGCACCCCUCUGUGCCACCCACUGGGACAUAGCAGAUGCCACCGUCCUCUGCCACCAGCUCAACUGUGGCAACGCGGUGGCCGCACCUGGAGGAGGCCAUUUUGGGGACGGGGACGCUGCCAUCUGGCCUGACGCCUUUCACUGUGAGGGGACAGAGCCCUACUUGUGGAAUUGCCCAGUAAGCACCCUGGGGGCCCCAGCCUGUGCCCCGGGAAACACAGCCUCCGCGGUCUGCUCAGGUCUGCCCCACGCCCUGCGACUGAGGGAAGGACAGAGCCGCUGUGACGGCCGCGUGGAGGUCUCCCUGGAUGGCGUGUGGGGCCGCGUCCUGGACGAUGCCUGGGACCUGCACGGCGCGGGCGUGGUGUGCCGGCAACUCGGGUGCGGAGGGGCCCAGCAAGCCUAUGACGCACCUGCCCCCAGCCGCGGAUCCGUCCAGGUGGCGCUGAGCCGCGUGCGCUGUCUGGGCACCGAAACCCGCCUGACUCAGUGCAACGUGUCCGCGACCCUGCAGGAGCCCGCGGGGACCUCGCGGGACGCUGGCGUGGUGUGCUCCGGUGAGGGCGGAACCGCGUCCCCCAUGGCCCGUCGCCACGGGAUCCCGGGCGCCCUGACUCUGUCUCUCCACAGGGAGCCUCAGGGUGCGGCUGGCCGCGGGGCCGGGGCGCUGUGCGGGGCGCGUGGAGGUGCUGCACGGGGGCGCGUGGGGCACCGUGUGUGGCGAUGCCUGGGACCUGCGGGACGCGCACGUGGUCUGCAGGCAGCUGGGCUGUGGCCGCGCCCUGAGCGCCCUGGGGGCCGCACACUUCGGAGCCGGGGCAGGGCGCAUCUGGCUGGACGAGCUGGGCUGCCAGGGCCACGAGUCUGCGCUGUGGCAGUGCCCGUCGGCGGGCUGGGGGCGGCACGACUGCAGGCACAAGGAGGACGCCGGCGUCUUCUGCUCAGAGUCGGUGGCUCUGAGGCUGCGAGGUGGGACCUGCUGCUGUGCUGGGUGGCUGGACGUGUUCUGCAAUGGGACCUGGGGCGCCGUGUGCAGCAAUGCCCUGAAGGACCUCUCCUUGUCCAUCAUCUGCAAGCAGCUGGGGUGUGGGGAGUGGGGCUGGCUGGAGAACAGGCCCUUCCCCUCUGCGGGCACCGGGACCGCCUGGGUGGACAACAUCGAGUGCUGCAGGCUGCCCAACUCCACUCUGUGGCAAUGCCCUUCCCACCCAUGGCACCCGCACUCUUGCGACCUUUGAGAGCAGGUCUGGAUUACCUGUGCAGAAAAGGCAGGAGAAGUUCCUGAGGACCCCGGGGAGCCCCUCAACUGCUCCUCCUCGCUCGGCUGCCCAGGUACCCCUCUGUCCUUGUCGCUGUCCUCCUUCCCAUCCCGGUCCAGCCCCCGCAGUGACCGCAGCCCCUUUUGCAGAGGAGGGCGCACUGCGCGUGCGCGGGGGCGAGGACCGCUGCUCCGGGCGCGUGGAGCUCUGGCACGCGGGCUCCUGGGGCACCGUGUGCGACGAUGGCUGGGACCUGGCGGACGCGGAGGUCGUGUGCCGCCAGCUGGGCUGCGGUCGGGCCGUCGCCGCCCUGGGGGCCGCCGCCUUUGGCCCUGGCUCCGGGCCCGUGUGGCUGGACGAGGUGGGGUGCCGGGGCAGCGAGGCGUCCCUGUGGGGCUGCCCUGCGGAGCGGUGGGGACGCGGAGACUGCGCGCACAAGGAGGACGCGGGCGUGCGCUGCUGGGAAAACAAACAGUUAACCACAGUGAUGACCUUAGCAAAAACAGCAGUAGUGAGCCUGGCCCAGGCCCCCCACUGCCUGCAGCUCCCUUCCGGACAUUCUGGGUGGUCAGUGUCGUCCUGGGAGCCCUUCUUGGUCUUCUCCUUCUGGGCCUCAUGGCCUUUCUGAUUCUGCCUCGAGUCACGCAAGCCAUGCAGAGGGGUCUGGGAAGAUCCGAGGUAUCUCCUGGAGAAGCCAUCUAUGAUGUCAUUGGGGAAAUGCCGCUAGCAGGACUGUACGAGGAAAUCACGGAGGCCGAGGCUGUGCUCCAAGAUGAGGAGGACGGAAGUGUGGUGAAGGUGGACACAGAAGCCGCAGGUUGAAGUACAGUGGUGUGAUCUCAGCUCACGGCAACCUCUGUCUCCCAGGUUCAAGCAAUUCUUAUGCCUCAGCCUCCAGAGUAGCUAGGAUUACAGAAAGAAAGAAAGAACAAAAAGAAGAGAAGGAGAGUAAAUUCUUGUUUCCAAGUUAGACAAGAGAGUUAUGAUUAAAUGCCACCUUGGGUCCACAAGUCUUCCAUAAGAAAAACAAUGAAAGGAUUUCUGGAUGAUUCUACUAUGACAUCACAACUUGCAGCAGAGGCAGAUGUAAUGAGGCAAUACUUGACAUUGUUUUCAGGGCAUUUGCUCGUGUCCUCGGUCUCUUGCCUUGGCACCUGGGUGGCUUGCCACCCACAGCAAUUGUGACUUUGAAAGGCCAUUCCACCGUUCUAUCAAUCCAGCUGCUUCAGGAUGAUGGGCAACGUGGUAAGACCAGUGAAUUCCACGAACAUGAGCCCACUGCUGCACUUCUAUGGCCGUAAAGAUAGACAAGAGAAGAACUUCUAGAAUGGCAGGAUAAGAAGCUCUGAAAAUCUGUUCCUCCAGAACUGCAAUGUGAACACCAGCUAAAGUGUUGAAAAAUGAAUGGAGCCUCAGAGACCUUUGGGACAUCAUCAAGGGUAUCUAACAGGUACAAUGGGAAUCACAGAAAGAGAGAAAAUAAGGGGACAAAAAUACUAUUUGAAGAAAUAAUGGGUGUAAAUUCCCCAAAUUUGAUUAAAAAGAUCCAUCUACAUAUCCAAAAGCUUAAUAAAUGAAUAUUCAUUUAUU